UACGUAGGCAGCGAGCGUUGUUCGGAAUUACUGGGCGUAAAGAGUGCGUAGGUGGUUGGCUAAGUUUGGUGUGAAAUCUCCUGGCUUAACUGGGAGGGUGCGCCGAAAACUGGCUGGCUAGAGUGUGGGAGAGGGAAGUGGAAUUCCUGGUGUAGCGGUGAAAUGCGUAGAUAUCAGGAGGAACACCUGAGGUGUAGACGGCUUCCUGGACCAUUACUGACACUGAGGCACGAAAGCGUGGGUAGCAAACAGG
rnacentral:rRNA from 1 species